ensembl:lncRNA
CUCUCCUUUGUUCAGAGACAGCCCGGCAGAUCUAUUCCCUAAUAAAGGCUUGUUGUGGCCUGGUCUGGUCUUGGUCUUCGGCCCUUUUACCUGACAUUUCUGGUGCCGUGACUCGGAUGGUAGAUGGUCCAUUAAGGGACGAUCCCCCCGCAGGACGGGGUUGAUUGACCUUUUGGCCAUCUCCAACGGACCUAUCUGCCGUUGCCAGGACCCUCCGGGGCUUUCUACCUUUGCCAUUGCUGACGCUACACAUCCACACCGGUCACCAAUGUCUGGAAACGAUUGAGGACAUUCACCAGCCAGACAGUCACAGAGUUCAUCAUGGCAGGGAACCAGCCAGUACGGCAAAAGGAAGAGGUCCCCACUUGCCACCGGCCUCAUCAGAUCCAGGUCUAGCCCCGAUCUUCGCCCCUUGUCAGCAGGAAGCAGCUCCAGAAGAAGAGACCUUCGCCCAACUAUCAUAAAACAAAAGCCUGGAAUGAUAGGUCUCCCACCACCUCAGCAGCUAUUAAGUAUAGUAGCUGCCCUCUUCCUAUGGUGCCUUGCCCCCUCCCCUGUGUGACAUCAUGCCAAGAUGGUUGCUCCCACCAAAGAACAAACCCUUCUUCCCAGCAUGCCCCUGUUCCAACCUAGACAGUAACCUAAUACUUGCUCACCUCCUACCACCUAGUGACAUCACCGGCUCCUCCAUUCCCUAGUCACUACCUCACUCAACCCCACCUUAGCCCCUACAAGCCCCACCCCAGUCUCUAUAAAAGACUCUCCCUGCCCCAGCCAUAUUGCUUUUGUCUCUCCUUUGUUCAGAGACAGCCCGGCAGAUCUAUUCCCCUAAUAAAGGCUUGUUGUGGCCUGGUCUGGUCUUGGUCUUCGGCCCUUUUACCUGACAUUUCUGGUGCCGUGACUCGGAUGGUAGAUGGUCCAUUAAGGGACGAUCCCCCGCAGGACGGGGUUGAUUGACCUUUUGGCCAUCUCCAACGGACCUAUCUGCCGUUGCCAGGACCCUCCGGGGCUUUCUACCUUUGCCAUUGCUGACGCUACACAUCCACACCGGUCACCAAUGUCUGGGUGAGUAGGGAGUUCAGCCUCCCUCUCGUCGGGUUCUCUGUCUCGUUCUCUCUCCCUCCGGGGACUUCUCAGAAAUCCAAGCGCUUGGUCAGAGAAACCCCCACGGCCUCUGGGCCCAGGACCGUGCCCCUGGGAGACGUCCCAUCGGCCCGCCUCCUCUCGUUCUCUCCCUCUGGGAGACUCACUCGGAGAUUGUCAAAGGAGACAAGGACGCUUCUCCCCUUUGUCUUUCUCCCCAGGGGCUGCCUCCCCCUCACCCGCUCUAAUCAGGGGGCCCAACAAUCCAAACCCCGCCCCUCAACGCCUCUGGGCUGCCUUCUGGCACAACUCAAACCCCUCGGAUUGUUGGGACCAGACUUUAGGCCAAAAAGAUUUGUUUUCUAUUGUAAUCAGGUUUGGCCUCAGUAUAAAUUAGAUAAUGGGUUUCCACGCCCCAAAAAUGGCACUUUCAAUUUUAACAUACUGUGUGAUUUACACAACUUCUGUCAGUGCAAUGGCAAAUGGUCAGAAAUCCCCUACAUACAAGCCUUUUCUACCUAUGCUCUUAACCCUCCCUCUGUCAAACCUGUUCUUCUCAAGUACUCCUAGCCUGAGCUGAUCACUCACCGCUCAUACCUCCCCCACUUUAUAACUCUGUUGAUAAGAAAAAGUUUUAAAGCUUAAUAGAUUAGCUAUUAAAGUAGUUGUGGAAGCAAACUAAGUAGUGUAUCCCUUUAAAAACUUGCAUUAGCCCAUUGCUUCUGCUGUUCAAAGUAAAGGUUAUAUAGCUUCUUUGAUUUGUAGCUCCACUAUAGAUAACAUCCUAACUAAAGAAUGAAGUAAAAAUCCUUGAACAAACUUGUGAUAUAUGUGCCUUAAUUGUCAUGUGUUUAGGGCUGUAAUCAGUGACAGAAACCACCUGUGUCUAACCAUUAAACAGGAAUUAGAACUUUAUUUACUUAACAAAGACCACUAGGGAUGAGAUAAUGAUGGACAAAAGUAUAAAAUGUUUAUAGUGAGUCGGAGACAAAAUAUUUAAAAAGCUAUAAGUAAAAGAUAUAUUUUUGAUAUAAAAGGAUUUUAUAUGUUUGUCUUAUUAGCAGGACAAGACCAAAAGGCCUAAGUACAUCAAGAAGGUGUGCGAAAGUGAUUUAUAAAGGAAAUAUAUGUUUACUUGUUGGUUUCAAGUUUAUUAUAAAAGGUUUACAGGAAUAGAGGUUUCAUUCCUUCUGAUUUUAAUUCUACAAGAGAUCUCUGUUAAUUGACUUACAAAAAGUUUUAAAUAGUCUUAUUUAUAAUUAUAAACCUAAAAUUAUAAAGAGAUUAUAAUUCCAUUGGGCUAAAUAUAUUUGAGUGCACUCUAGUUUUAGAAAUUGUCUUAUAUCUUUGUUUUUGUCCAAUCCUACAGCUGUUUUAUUUAUAGAUAAAGGUUAUUAAGUUCAAGGCAUGCUCCCCUUGGUGAACAAAGGAGCAGCCGCAUGGAAAUAUUUUCCAGUCUUUGUUCACUAGGGGGACCUCAACAGUUUUCAUCUUACAAGAGACUGACCCAAUAGUUUUCAUAGCCUUAUAAAAGACUUACAGGAAUAAAUAUUAUUUAAAUAUAUUAUUAUACUGUUUAUAUCAAUUGUCAUCAAAGGGAUAAAUUCUAAAUAUGUUAUUAUGGUGUGCUUACACUGGUCAUUUUCAAAGGACUAAAUAUCCUGUAAAAAACAACAAUAACAAGGUUUUAUUUUUUCUAGUGUACUAAAUGUAUUUAUACUUUCUUACUGUACAGGUUUUCUAAUAUUUGUUUAUGAUAAUAACCUCUUUUUGAUUCAGGAAUUCAACUACUAAAAAACAACCAUGACUGAUGACAGUAACAGUUCUCUAUAUUUUAAAUUCCAAAAUGUUUGUUAUUCAGGUAAAACUAUAAUAGUUAAGUUCAUUAUUCUUGUUACAAUGCUAAUGCUAUUGACCUUCUCUUCUGGGUGUUCAACAACUAAAGUUUGGAGACCAAAACUAAAAAGUAACUGGGCUAUGAGGACAGCCAAUAUUUUGGCCCUGGCCCCUCAAGGUCAACAAAGUUCCAGGACAUGAGGGAACCUUCUCUACAGGGUCCUACAUCUUUGGUAAGUCACUCAACCUCCUAAACUGGGAGAUUGCUGGACACCAGAGGACAAUGUACUGUGUGCCAAAGGAGGGUCACCAAGAAAAAACUCUCCACUGCUUUCACUGAAAGCAACUUGGUCAAACAAGGCCAUAACCCAUCCAGAUGGCUGACACUGACAGAGAAGCAGAGAGGCACUAUGCAUGGUUCCAAAGUAAUGGCCUGGGGAGACUUAACUGACCUUAAUAGAUAACAAGAGGUUCAUAUUGAUUGACACAGGUCUCACUUUAACUUGGUCUUAAACACCCAGCAGAAAAAAUAACCAAAAGAGGCACAAAACAAUGACAUAAUAAUAAAGCUAGACUUCAGAAAAAUUAAGACAUAGCCCACCCAUUAAAAUCUUUUGGUUCACUCAUGACACAGCCAUUUCAAAAAGACAAAACUUUGGGUACUAAAGAGAAGCAAAAAUCAUUAAUUAGCUACAAGUGUGUACAGAUUCUUUUCAAAAAAAAUUAAAAGAAGUUAUUUACAGGUAACCAAUCCUAGAAACCACUGGUCUCCAGAUCUCUCCUUUUAGAUAAGUGUUUUUCUGAUUCUGUGAUAACUAAUUAACUAUCGUGUAAUGAUAAAAAAAAAAACAACAAAAAACCAUAAAGUAAGAGUAUUGAGAAAAAAUCACGUGCUUGUCAGCCACAGUCAGGAUAAGUUCUAUACCAAGCAGCUACAAGAUUUAUUCCUUUUAAAAUAAUGUACAUCCUUGUUCUCUGUUUAUGAUGCCUCUUCUCAUUGUGCUCAUACUUUCUGGAUACCUACCCGUGUCUAAAAAGAUCAAGCCUUUUAUGCUACACUUGAUCACCUUAAGUCGUCCAGUGUCCUUGUUGAGGUUAUCAGUUCUCUUUAUUUUUAAAUAUAUCUAGGAGGCCUCCAAAAACUGAGAGAUACAGGAAUAAAACUGUCCUGGCCUUGAAUUUAAAGAAGAAGUCAGGUUCAUAGUAAC